UUCGGGGGUAUAUAAAGCGGCGAACGGGUGAGUAACAGGUGGAUAAUCUACCUCUCGGCGGGGGAUAGCUGCUGGAAACGGCAGGUAAUACCGCGUACGGUUUUUUGGGCAUAAGCCCGAAUAAAGAAAGGCGCUUCACGGCGUCACCGAGAGAUGAGUCCGCCCCCCAUUAGGUAGUUGGUGAGAUAAAAGCUCACCAAGCCUGCGAUGGGUAGCCGGGCUGAGAGGUUGGCCGGCCACACUGGAACUGAGACACGGUCCAGACACCUACGGGUGGCAGCAGUAGGGAAUAUUGGACAAUGGGCGAAAGCCUGAUCCAGCCAUGCCGCGUGGAUGAUGAAGGCCUUCGGGUCGUAAAGUCCUUUUCUUAGGGAAGAACAACCAGGAGAGGAAAUGCUCCUGGUCUGACGGUACCUGAGGAAUAAGCAACGGCUAACUCCGUGCCAGCAGCCGCGGUAAUACGGAGGUUGCAAGCGUUGUUCGGAAUAACUGGGCGUAAAGGGGGCGCAGGCGGCUUAUUAAGUCUGAAGUGAAAGUCCGGGGCUUAACCUCGGAAGGCCUUUGGAUACUGGUAAGCUAGAGUACGGAAGAGGAGAGUGGAAUUCCAGGUGUAGCGGUGAAAUGCGUAGAUAUCUGGAGGAACACCGGUGGCGAAAGCGGCUCGCUGGGUCUCUUCUGACGCUGAGGCACGAAAGCUAGGGUAGCGAACGGGAUUAGAUACCCCGGUAGUCCUAGCUGUAAACGAUCAGCACUAGACUGAGGGAACUCCCACAUUCUCUCGGUCGUAGCGAAAGUGUUAAGUGCUGCGCCUGGGGAGUAUGGCCGCAAGGCUGAAACUCAAAGGAAUUGACGGGG
rnacentral:rRNA from 1 species